UUUUAUUUGAGAGUUUGAUCCUGGCUCAGGAUGAACGCUGGCGGCGUGCCUAACACAUGCAAGUUGAGCGAUUUACUUCGGUAAAGAGCGGCGGACGGGUGAGUAACGCGUGGGUAACCUACCCUGUACACACGGAUAACAUACCGAAAGGUAUGCUAAUACGGGAUAAUAUAUUUGAGAGGCAUCUCUUGAAUAUCAAAGGUGAGCCAGUACAGGAUGGACCCGCGUCUGAUUAGCUAGUUGGUAAGGUAACGGCU
rnacentral:rRNA from 1 species